GUGCGAAAGCGUGGGAGCAAACGGAUUAGAUACCCCGGUAGUCCACGCCGUAAACGAUGUCUACUAGCCGUUGGAGGACUUGAUCCUUUGGUGGCGCAGCUAACGCGAUAAGUAGACCGCCUGGGGGAGUACGGUCGCAAGAUUAAAACUCAAAUGAAUUGACGGGGGCCCGCACAAGCGGUGGAGCAUGUGGUUUAAUUCGAAGCAACGCGAAGAACCUUACCUACUCUUGACAUCCAGUGAACUUUUGAGAGAUCAAUUGGUGCCUUCGGGAACACUGAGACAGGUGCUGCAUGGCUGUCGUCAGCUCGUGUUGUGAAAUGUUGGGUUAAGUCCCGUAACGAGCGCAACCCUUGUCCUUAGUUACCAUCAUUAAGUUGGGGACUCUAAGGAGACUGCCGGUGACAAACCGGAGGAAGGCGGGGACGACGUCAAGUCAUCAUGGCCCUUACGAGUAGGGCUACACACGUGCUACAAUGGCAUGUACAAAGGGUUGCCAAGCCGCGAGGUGGAGCUAAUCCCAUAAAGCAUGUCGUAGUCCGGAUUGGAGUCUGCAACUCGACUCCAUGAAGUCGGAAUCGCUAGUAAUCGUGAAUCAGAAUGUCACGGUGAAUACGUUCCCGGGCCUUGUACACACCGCCCGUCACACCAUGGGAGUGGGUUGCUCCAGAAGUAGAUAGCUUAACCUUCGGGAGGGCGUUUACCACGGAGUGAUUCAUGACUGGGGUGAAGUCGUAACGAGGUAGCCGUA
rnacentral:rRNA from 1 species